CUGGCGCUAGUGAACAUAUCAUAAUCUAAUCUUUAUAAAUUCUCUAUAUAUUUUGAGAUCGUUGCUCUUGACUCGUCUAUAAACGAUACCUUGUAGCCAAGUGCCUAAGGUAUUUCCACCACAAAGUUCCAGAUUCUAGAUCCCCCAUCGCUGUAAUCGAAUAAAGGACUUGUUGUAUCAAGAGGCCGAUGCAUUCAUGCAACAAAUCGUGUUUAAGCGCUAACCGCAGAUCCAGAAGAAUGGUUUCACAGCGGGAUUUUUUUCACAUAUACUUAGUCCCGAUUGCAUCAUGGCACUUGAAAACAUAUUCGAUUUUAAGCUUACAAAAACAAGUCAGCGCCUUUCUCAGCACACACGGAUUCCGUUUCGGAUACGUAUGCAAUUAUUUCAGUUCGAGCCGCUAACUGAAGCGCGAGACCCACGUGAACAUGAAAAAUGUAAGCUUCUAGAUUACUAGAAUUCCCUCGAGGCUAUAUCUACUUGACGGAGCGACAGCCGUGUGAACAUUUACUUUUGUGUGACGGUAGCUCUCAACACUUGGUUGCCCUUCGCCAAACACUUUAAUUCACGCGUUCAGUUUACACCCAACUGGUGAAUUCCGCCAUCUAGUGUUAUCACAAAAAAGUCGUUAUUUUAAGAAGUAAAAAACCAUUAAACAAGCGUUCAUGAACGUUACACUUGCAUGUGUAUGAAAUACAAAUGAAAUAUUAUUUCUGGACACAAACAUAGACACAAUAGAAGAGCAAUUUAACCUAA